rnacentral:tRNA from 1 species
GGCCCUUUAGCUCAGUGGUUAGAGCAGGCGUCUCAUAAUCGUCCGGUCGCUGGUUCAAGUCCAGCAAGGGCCACCA